CAGGUUCAAGCAAUUCUCCUGCCUCAGCCUCCUGAAUAGCUGGGAUUACAGGCCUUGAGGAGCUGGUUCUCUCAGAGAUGAACUCACCAAGCCGGACCCAGACAGGAGACAGCAGUAGCAUCUCCUCCUUCAGCUACCGGGAGAUCUUGCGGGAAAAGGAGAGCUCGGCUGUUCCAGCCAGGGUAAGGGGAAAGGAAGAACCUACAGCUCCAGCUUCUCUCAACCCAAAAAUCUGAGAACCCCUCCCCUUUUCUCCUCACCUAAAUCUAUCUCCUACUUUGGGCACAGCACACAUAUUUUCUUGUCAACUUUUCCCCAAGCCCACCAACUUGGAUUCAGAUUGCUACAUGCAGGACGGGCCAAUCAUUCUCUCUCUCUCUCUGACUUUCUGUUUCAUCAUCUGUGGGCUAAUUCCCCCUUCUCUGGUGCCAUAAAGUAUGUGGCUCAUAGUAGGUACACCAUCCAAGGAGAAGGUCCCUUUUUCCAACUUGUAAUGAUCACUAAUUAUUAUUGCCGGCUGUCAUGUCAGCCUCCUUACCAGCCACUUUCCUUUGGAAAUAACUUUUUUAUUGUUCCACAAAUAGUUUGUGCGCAUUGUAGUACAUUUUUUAAAAACCACAAAUGAGCAAAGAUUUUUUUAAAACCUUAAAUGUCUGG
rnacentral:sRNA from 1 species